rnacentral:rRNA from 1 species
UAUGCUAGCCCCAACAUAGACAAAAUUCUUAUUUCUAUCCGCCAGGGUACUACGAGCAUUAGCUUAAAACCCAAAGGACUUGGCGGUGCUUUAUACCCACCUAGAGGAGCCUGUCCUAUAACCGAUAAUCCCCGUUUAACCUCACCUCUUCUUGUUUUCACCGCCUAUAUACCGCCGUCGUCAGCCUACCCUGUGAAGGCUUAACAGAAUGCAACAUUGGUACAACCCAAAACGUCAGGUCGAGGUGUAGCGAAUGGAGAGGAAAGAGAUGGGCUACAUUUUCUAAUACAGAAAACUACAGAAGGUAAAAUGAAAUAACCCCGAAGGAGGAUUUAGCAGUAAGCAGAGAGUAGAGUGCUCCGCUGAAACUGGUCAUAAAGUGCGCACACACCGCCCGUCACUCUCCCCUAUAAUAUUACUAGUCUAAACUUAAUGCAUACACAUUAUUUCAAGGGGAGGCAAGUCGUAACAUGGUAAGUGUACUG